AAGUCGUAACAAGGUUUCCGUAGGUGAACCUGCGGAAGGAUCAUUAUAGAUUGACCGAAAGGUCGUGUCUUCAUCCACACACACCGUGAACCGUUUUGGAGCCCUCAGGGGUUUCCGGACAACACACCAAAACAAACGUAAAGAAUGUAAACUAUCGUAAACAAAACAAA
rnacentral:misc_RNA from 1 species